rnacentral:rRNA from 1 species
GAUGAACGCUAGCGACAGGCCUAACACAUGCAAGUCGAGGGGCAGCGGGGCGAAGCUUGCUUUGCCUGCCGGCGACCGGCGCACGGGUGAGUAACACGUAUGGAACCUGCCCGCCACAGGGGGAUAACCGGUAGAAAUGCCGACUAAUACCCCGUAUGCCCACAGGGGCGCAUGCCCUGGUGGGGAAACAUUCAUGGGUGGCGGAUGGCCAUGCGGCGCAUUAGCUGGUUGGCGGGGUAACGGCCCACCAAGGCGACGAUGCGUAGGGGUUCUGAGAGGAAGGUCCCCCCACAUUGGUACUGAGACACGGUCCAAACUCCUACGGGAGGCAGCAGUGAGGAAUAUUGGUCAAUGGACGGGAGUCUGAACCAGCCAAGUAGCGUGCAGGAUGACGGCCCUAUGGGUUGUAAACUGCUUUUAUAGGGGGAUAAAGUGUGCCACGUGUGGCAUAUUGCAGGUACCCUAUGAAUAAGGACCGGCUAAUUCCGUGCCAGCAGCCGC